UACGUAGGGGGGCAAGCGUUGUCCGGAAUUAUUGGGCGUAAAGAGCGUGUAGGCGGUCCGGUAAGUCAGCUGUGAAAGUCAAGGGCUCAACCCUUGAAAGCCGGUUGAUACUGUCGGGCUAGAGUCCGGAAGAGGCAAGCGGAAUUCCAGGUGUAGCGGUGAAAUGCGUAGAUAUCUGGAGGAACACCGGUGGCGAAGGCGGCAUCCUGGACCGAUAUUGACGCUGAUGCGCGAAAGCCAGGGGAGCAAACGGG
rnacentral:rRNA from 1 species